AGAUGUGAGGGCGAUCUGGCUGCGACAUCUGUCGCCCCAUUGGUCGCCAGGGUUGAUUUGGCUGAUCUGGCUGGCUAGGCGGGUGUCCCCUUCCUCCCUCACCAUUCCGUGUGCGUUCCUCCCAAAGCUGCACACUCGGUUGAAGAGGACAAUCAUCCCUGAUAGAGGGGGACUGAUCUUCGGUCAAGGGUGUACUAGUUAGCUGCACUUCCCUCUAGAACCUCCAAACAAGCUCUCAAGGUCCAUUUAGUAAAAAUGCAUGUAGUAAAUUGGAAAUGGAAGAGAACUGUUACUUUAAUUAGAUAAAGAAUAUCUACAGAUUAAAGAAUAUAU
rnacentral:snRNA from 1 species